rnacentral:rRNA from 1 species
AUUGAACGCUGGCGGCAGGCCUAACACAUGCAAGUCGAGCGAGCGGCGGACGGGUGAGUAAUGCCUGUGAAACUGCCUGAUGGCGGGGGAUAACUACUGGAAACGGUAGCUAAUACCGCAUACCCUCAGAUGUGCCUAUAUGGGAUUAGCUUGUAGGUGGGGUAACGGCUCACCUAGGCGAAGAUCCCUAGCUGGUCUGAGAGGAUGACCAGCCACACUGGAACUGAGACACGGUCCAGACUCCUACGGGAGGCAGCAGUGGGGAAUAUUGCACAAUGGGCGCAAGCCUGAUGCAGCCAUGCCGCGUGUGUGAAGAAGGCCUUCGGGUUGUAAAGCACUUUCAGCGGGGAGGCGUUACCCGCAGAAGAAGCACCGGCUAACUCCGUGCCAGCAGCCGCGGUAAUUC